rnacentral:rRNA from 1 species
CCUACGGGAGGCAGCAGUGAGGAAUAUUGGUCAAUGGACGAGAGUCUGAACCAGCCAAGUAGCGUGAAGGAUGACUGCCCUAUGGGUUGUAAACUUCUUUUAUAUGGGAAUAAAACAGGGUAUGCAUACCCUCUUGUAUGUACCAUAUGAAUAAGGAUCGGCUAACUCCGUGCCAGCAGCCGCGGUAAUACGGAGGAUCCGAGCGUUAUCCGGAUUUAUUGGGUUUAAAGGGAGCGUAGGUGGAUUGUUAAGUCAGUUGUGAAAGUUUGCGGCUCAACCGUAAAAUUGCAGUUGAAACUGGCAGUCGUGAGUACAGUAGAGGUGGGCGGAAUUCGUGGUGUAGCGGUGAAAUGCUUAGAUAUCACGAAGAACUCCGAUUGCGAAGGCAGCUCACUGGACUGAAACUGACACUGAUGCUCGAAAGUGUGGGUAUCAAACAGGAUUAGAUACCCCUGUGUC